GAUGAACGCUAGCUACAGGCUUAACACAUGCAAGUCGAGGGGCAGCAUGAACUUAGCUUGCUAAGUUUGAUGGCGACCGGCGCACGGGUGAGUAACACGUAUCCAACCUUCCGUUUACUCAGGGAUAGCCUUUCGAAAGAAAGAUUAAUACCUGAUAGUAUGGUGAGAUUGCAUGAUAACACCAUUAAAGAUUUAUUGGUAAACGAUGGGGAUGCGUUCCAUUAGGUAGUAGGCGGGGUAACGGCCCACCUAGCCUGCGAUGGAUAGGGGUUCUGAGAGGAAGGUCCCCCACAUUGGAACUGAGACACGGUCCAAACUCCUACGGGAGGCAGCAGUGAGGAAUAUUGGUCAAUGGGCGAGAGCCUGAACCAGCCAAGUAGCGUGAAGGAUGACUGCCCUAUGGGUUGUAAACUUCUUUUAUAAAAGGAAUAAAGUCGGGUAUGCAUACCCGUUUGCAUGUACUUUAUGAAUAAGGAUCGGCUAACUCCGUGCCAGCAGCCGC
rnacentral:rRNA from 1 species